AUUGAACGCUGGCGGCAGGCCUAACACAUGCAAGUCGAGCGGAUGAGAGGAGCUUGCUCCUCGAUUCAGCGGCGGACGGGUGAGUAAUGCCUAGGAAUCUGCCUAGUAGUGGGGGACAACGUUUCGAAAGGAACGCUAAUACCGCAUACGUCCUACGGGAGGAAGUGGGGGAUCUUCGGACCUCACGCUAUUAGAUGAGCCUAGGUCGGAUUAGCUAGUUGGUAGGGUAAAGGCCUACCAAGGCGACGAUCCGUAACUGGUCUGAGAGGAUGAUCAGUCACACUGGAACUGAGACACGGCCCAGACUCCUACGGGAGGCAGCAGUGGGGAAUAUUGGACAAUGGGCGAAAGCCUGAUCCAGCCAUGCCGCGUGUGUGAAGAAGGCCUUCGGGUCGUAAAGCACUUUAAGUUGGGAGGAAGGGCUCAUAGCGAAUACCUGUGAGUUUUGACGUUACCAACAGAAUAAGCACCGGCUAACUUCGUGCCAGCCGCCGCCGUAAGAC
rnacentral:rRNA from 1 species